AGAACAACAACUUGAGAACAGAUUGGAACCUUUUCCCACGUCAUUUGUGCAAAGCCGAGAGCAAACAAUUUUGGGCAAUCAUUGGAGAAUAACUAGGAUCUUUUCACUACAUCAAUUUUCCAAAGCCGAGAAAAGGGAGGAAUCUUUUACAGAAUGCACAUGAGCUAGAAGACCUAAGGAUACCAUAAUUAGAGUGCAUUUCUGCAGCAGGAUUUUGAGCACACCGUAACAGCAGCCUUUGUGUAGUAAUAGUUUUGGUUCAUUUUUGGAUUUGUAAUAGGUUUGCUUUGAUUUCUUCUUUGUAAACGGCCAUUCAAAGUCCAAGUGGUGUGGGAAGAGUCCUUGGUGCUCUUUCU
rnacentral:lncRNA from 1 species